CCUACGGGCGGCAGCAGUGAGGAAUAUUGGUCAAUGGGCGGGAGCCUGAACCAGCCAAGUCGCUUGCGUUCCUCCUUUCCUCUUUCUUUUCCCCCUCUUUCUUCUUUUCUCACUGCCGGGCACGUGUGCCCGGAGGGAGAGUACCCGCAGAAUAAGCAUCGGCUAACUCCGUGCCAGCAGCCGCGGUAAUACGGAGGAUGCGAGCGUUAUCCGGAUUUAUUGGGUUUAAAGGGUGCGUAGGCGGAUUUUUAAGUCAGCGGUAAAAUGUCCGGGCUCAACCCGGGCCGGCCGUUGAAACUGGGGAUCUUGAGUGGGCGAGAAGUAUGCGGAAUGCGUGGUGUAGCGGUGAAAUGCAUAGAUAUCACGCAGAACUCCGAUUGCGAAGGCAGCAUACCGGCGCCCGACUGACGCUGAGGCACGAAAGCGUGGGGAUCGAACAGGAUUAGAGAAAAGGGGAGUC
rnacentral:rRNA from 1 species